rnacentral:lncRNA from 1 species
CUUUAGAGCAGAUUAUAAUGGAUUUAGAAUUGGAAGAUCCACAUUCAAGUCCUGGCCUUGUCCUUUACUGGCUGUGUGGCUUUGAGCAAGUCACUUAAUUGUGCCUGAGCUUCAGUUCCACAUCUAUAAAAUGAUGAUGUGGUAGGUUCCUGUCUUUCAGGGCUGCUCUGCAAUAUGGAGAUGACACAUGUAAAGAUCUUUUGUGAAAUGGUAAAGUCUCAUUAUUAUCCUGAUCCCCCCUGCCCAUUGCCUUUGAGAGCAUUAAUCACAUAUAUAUAUUUUUUUAAUCUUUUAAUUGUCAUUUUAUAGCUCCCCACCGCAGCUGCCCCCCACCCUUCCCUUCGUUGACAACACAAAGUCUGCAGGCUUCAGGGGGACCAGGGAACAAAGCUGGGGCCUGGCAGCCCCACUAUGCUGCCAGCCAGGGAGAACAAGUCACAAUUACAAAUUAUCACAACAAUUAGUGCCUGUACUUGGGGGAUCUGCAAAUUGAGGAGGCCCCAGCUCCUCAUUGUAUAGGGGUCUAUUUGGCAGUGACCUUGCUCUGGAGACGAUGAUAUUCCUUCAGCCUCACCAGUUCCUCGUUGUAGAGAGACAGUGGGGACUCCCGGCUGAGGAUGUACACCUGGCCCUUGAGGACGGACACCUGCACUUUCCCUUCCACUCGCUCCUGGGACUUGGCAAUGCAGUGGCGGACAAAUUCACACUCAGGGCUGUGCCAGAAACCGGUAUACACCAGCUCAGCAAAUUUCAAGCCCAGGCCUUGUUUGAUUUUGCGCACUUCUCGGUCCAUGGUGAAGGCCUUGAUGCCUAAAUGAGCGUGGUAAAGGAUGGUGCCUGCUGGGGUCUCGUAGAUACCUCGGGACUUCAUUCCAAUGAAGCGGUUCUCCACGAUGUCAAUACGGCCCACACUAUGCUUGCCCGCGACUUCGUUCAGGUACAUGAAGAGCUCCAAGGAGGUCUGGUGAGUGGUGCCAUCCUUGACGUUGGUCACCUUCACGGGGACCCCUUUUUUGAACUCGAUCUCGAGGAUGCACGAGGUGUCCAGGCCGCCACUGUAGGCCAGAACCACGGAGCCUUUGCUGGACAUAGUGUCUGGGAUUGGAGGCGUGAGUUCCUGGCGUCUGGAAUCUGUCUUCACGGUGCAGUGAACCACUUGGGCUUGGGCAGCGGUGGCAGGUGGCAGAGCAGGGCCUAAUCACAUAUUUUUAGUGCCUCUUUUGCAUUUAUCUUCUUAGGCAAUCUCCUGAAUG